rnacentral:rRNA from 1 species
UACGGGUGGGGCGAGCGUUGUUCGGAAUUACUGGGCGUAAAGGGUGCGUAGGCGGUGCUCUAAGUCGGAUGUGAAAACUCUGGGCUCAACCCAGAGCCUGCAUCCGAAACUGGAGUGCUAGAGUUCUGGAGGGGGUAGCGGAAUUCCUGGUGUAGCGGUGAAAUGCGUAGAUAUCAGGAGGAACACCGGUGGCGAAGGCGGCUACCUGGACAGAAACUGACGCUGAGGCACGAAAGCUAGGGGAGCAAACAGG